UACGUAGGGGGCGAGCGUUGUCCGGAUUUAUUGGGCGUAAAGAGCUCGUAGGCGGUUUGGUAAGUCGGGUGUGAAAUCUCCACGCUCAACGUGGAGGGGCCACUCGAUACUGCCAUGACUCGAGUCCGGUAGAGGAGUGUGGAAUUCCCGGUGUAGCGGUGAAAUGCGCAGAUAUCGGGAGGAACACCCGUAGCGAAGGCGGCACUCUGGGCCUUACCUGACGCUGAGGAGCGAAAGCGUGGGGAGCGAACAGG
rnacentral:rRNA from 1 species